AUUUUAUUAGCAAUAUGAAAAAAUGAAUUUAAAUAUUGACAAGCAAUUGAAUAAUACCAGAAGCACUUCAAUGCCAUAACUGCGCUUACUGUAAUGAACUAGGAAAUAAUACCGAAGUAGAAAACUGUACUUUCAUUUCGCCAAUCUGUCAAAAAAUUGAGUUUAUAUUAUCAAAUGGCACUGAGGGCGUCAUACUCCGCAGUUGCACAGGACAAUAUUUUGUAUCAGAAGAACGAAGAUAUUUUCAGUAUUCUAUAAAAAAUGAUAUUAAAGAUGAUGCACCUGUAAAUACACUACAUUAUUAUUUUUGUUCUAAUAAUUUAUGUAAUCAAGCUCAAAAGACUAAACUGAAUCUACUACCAAUUAUGUCUGGAUUAUUUUCAUUUACUAUUCAAUGGAUGUUUAAUUGA